AGCGAACGCUGGCGGCAGGCUUAACACAUGCAAGUCGAACGGUCCUUUGGGAUAGUGGCGGACGGGUGAGUAACACGUGGGAACGUACCCUUAGGUUCGGAACAACACAGGGAAACUUGUGCUAAUACCGGAUAAGCCCUUCGGGGGAAAGAUUUAUCGCCUUUGGAGCGGCCCGCGUCUGAUUAGCUUGUUGGUGAGGUAAUGGCUCACCAAGGCUACGAUCAGUAGCUGGUCUGAGAGGAUGGCCAGCCACACGGGGACUGAGACACGGCCCAGACUCCUACGGGAGGCAGCAGUGGGGAAUCUUGCGCAAUGGGCGAAAGCCUGACGCAGCCAUGCCGCGUGGAUGAUGAAGGUCUUAGGAUUGUAAAAUCCUUUCACCGGGGACGAUAAUGACGGUACCCGGAGAAGAAGCCCCGGCUAACUUCGUGCCAGCAGCCGCAGUAA
rnacentral:rRNA from 1 species